rnacentral:rRNA from 1 species
UACGUAGGGUGCGAGCGUUGUCCGGAAUUACUGGGCGUAAAGAGCUCGUAGGCGGUUUGUCGCGUCGUCCGUGAAAACUUGGGGCUCAACCCCAAGCUUGCGGGCGAUACGGGCAGACUUGAGUACUGCAGGGGAGACUGGAAUUCCUGGUGUAGCGGUGAAAUGCGCAGAUAUCAGGAGGAACACCGGUGGCGAAGGCGGGUCUCUGGGCAUGUCCUGACGCUGAGGAGCGAAAGCGUGGGGAGCAAACAGG